GCAGUAAAUGGAGAAUUAAUAGCCUUAGUCUUUUUGUUCUACUAAUUGACCACUUUAAAUGAUAACAGGUCCUGGUUUUAUAAAUGGUGUAACAUGGGACACAGAUGUUUGACCAUCUCCUGGACAUAUUAAUCUCAAAUCUGCAUCUUAUUUAAGUCCAGUUUGAUCUUAGCCAAAAAAAUUAGUCAUGCUUUUUUCAUCAGUAACUAGAUUAUUCCACUUAAGAACAUAUUCUAUGAUUAAGUUUUUGAUUGCCUGCUUGUUUUGUUUAUUUCCAGGGAAUUAAGUUAGAUGCAAAAGACAUUGAACAGAGAUUGGACAGAUACUGAGCUAUUUUUUAAGGCAUACCAUGAAUAUCUCCACUACCAAGGAAUACACCAGGGAAGAUGCAGCAAAAUGGCUUUCCCCUGUCAGCAUAAAACAAAGAUAAAAGAUGUCUAAAGAUCAAAGAAAAACAUCAAAGGGUCCACCCCUAAUUAGUGAAUUCGAUAUAUGACAUUACUGCAUGUUUCCGGUCUGUUGAACUCCGGCUUAUGUCUCUGGUACUGUGUUUAUGUCUGUAGUAGGCAGGUUUGGUAGCGCAGGUCGCGGGGUGAUUUGGAGCAA